rnacentral:rRNA from 1 species
GAUGAACGCUAGCGGCAUGCUUAAUACAUGCAAGUCGUGGGGCAGCAGGACUGUAGCAAUACAGUUGCUGUCGACCGGCAAACGGGUGCGGAACACGUACGCAACUUACCCUGAACUGGGGGAUAGCCCGGGGAAACCCGGAUUAAUACCCCGUAAUAUAAUGGAGUGGCAUCACUUUAUUAUUAAAGCUCCUGCGGUUCGGGAUGGGCGUGCGGCUGCUUAGGUAGUUGGUUGAGGUAACGGCUCACCAAGCCGACGAUCAGUAACUGUGUGAGAGCACGACCCGUUAGACGGGAAAUGAGACACGGGCCCGACUGCUACGGGAGGCAGCAGUAAGGAACAUUAGGCAAUGGAGGCAACUCUGACCCAGCCAUGCCGCGUGGAGGAGGAAGGCCCUCUGGGUUGUAAACUUCUUUUAUAGGGGACGAAACCUGUGUAUUCUUACGCAGUUGACGGUACCCUAGGAAUAAGCACCGGCUAACUCCGUG